UACAGAGGGGGCAAGCGUUGUUCGGAAUUACUGGGCGUAAAGGGCGCGUAGGCGGCCCGCUAAGUCGAACGUGAAAUCCCCGAGCUCAACUCGGGAACUGCGUCCGAUACUGGCGGGCUUGAAUCCGGGAGAGGGAUGCGGAAUUCCAGGUGUAGCGGUGAAAUGCGUAGAUAUCUAGAGGAACACCGGUGGCGAAGGCGGCAUCCUGGACCGGCAUUGACGCUGAGGCGCGAAAGCUAGGGGAGCAAACGGG
rnacentral:rRNA from 1 species